rnacentral:rRNA from 1 species
UACGUAGGGUGCAAGCGUUAAUCGGAAUUACUGGGCGUAAAGCGUGCGCAGGCGGUUUGAUAAGACAGUCGUGAAAUCCCCGAGCUCAACUUGGGAACUGCGAUUGUAACUGUCAGACUAGAAUAUGUCAGAGGGAGGUAGAAUUCCACGUGUAGCAGUGAAAUGCGUAGAGAUGUGGAGGAAUACCAGUGGCGAAGGCGGCCUCCUGGGAUAAUAUUGACGCUCAUGUACGAAAGCGUGGGGAGCAAACAGG